UGGGGGAAUCAACUAAUGAUGCUCCUCUCAUGUGAUGCAACCCUUGGCGCUUAGCUUCUUUCGCCAAGCAUAUUACACGCGGUAAAGCCGCUAAAGGAGAAAACAUG
rnacentral:ncRNA from 2 species